rnacentral:rRNA from 1 species
CUACGGGGCGCUGCAGCGGGGAAUAUUGCACAAUGGGCGCAAGCCUGAUGCAGCAACGCCGCGUGAGGGAUGAAGGCCUUCGGGUUGUAAACCUCUUUUAGCAGGGAAGAAGCGAAUGUGACGGUACCUGCAGAAAAAGCACCGGCUAACUACGUGCCAGCAGCCGCGGUAAUACGUAGGGUGCAAGCGGUUGUCCGGAAUUAUUGGGCGUAAAGAGCUCGUAGGCGGUUUGUCACGUCUGCUGUGAAAAUCCAAGGCUCAACCUUGGACUUGCAGUGGGUACGGGCAGGCUAGAGUGCGGUAGGGGAGAUGGGAAUUCCUGGUGUAGCGGUGGAAUGCGCAGAUAUCAGGAGGAACACCAAUGGCGAAGGCACAUCUCUGGGCCGUAACUGACGCUGAGGAGCGAAAGCGUGGGGAGCGAACAGGAUUAGAUACCCCCGUAGUC